GAUGAACGCUGGCGGCGUGCCUAAUACAUGCAAGUCGAGCGAACAGAUGAGGAGCUUGCUCCUCUGACGUUAGCGGCGGACGGGUGAGUAACACGUGGAUAACCUACCUAUAAGACUGGGAUAACUUCGGGAAACCGGAGCUAAUACCGGAUAAUAUAUUGAACCGCAUGGUUCAAUAGUGAAAGACGGUUUUGCUGUCACUUAUAGAUGGAUCCGCGCCGCAUUAGCUAGUUGGUAAGGUAACGGCUUACCAAGGCAACGAUGCGUAGCUGACCUGAGAGGGUGAUCGGCCACACUGGAACUGAGACACGGUCCAGACUCCUACGGGAGGCAGCAGUAGGGAAUCUUCCGCAAUGGGCGAAAGCUUGACGGAGCAACGCCGCGUGAGUGAUGAAGGUCUUCGGAUCGUAAAACUCUGUUAUUAGGGAAGAACAAAUGUGUAAGUAACUAUGCACGUCUUGACGGUACCUAAUCAGAAAGCCACGGCUAACUACGUG
rnacentral:rRNA from 1 species